AUUCCAGUGUUUAUCAACAAAAGAAUCUUUCGAAGUUUCAUGGAAUCAGAGAGCACAUUCAGAAACGGAAUUGAUGUUUUGUCACCUAGUGAAUUCACUGAGAAUGUGGAAACUAAGUUAUGGGAUGCUGUGGCAAAGAAUGACGUGGAACAGGCACAAAGCCUGCUUUGUCAAGGUGCAGACCCAUUCAAAAUAGGAGAAGACCGGCAAAACCACUGCUUAUAUGGAAGCUCAUCUUUUAGGUUACAAAGUGAUUUCACAAGUUUGACCCGCCACCCAGGAAACU